CUACGGGUGGCUGCAGUGGGGAAUCUUGCACAAUGGAGGAAACUCUGAUGCAGCGAUGCCGCGUGAGUGAAGAAGGCCCUUGGGUUGUAAAGCUCUUUUGUCGGGAAAGAUAAUGACUGUACCCGAAGAAUAAGGUCCGGCUAACUUCGUGCCAGCAGCCGCGGUAAUACGAAGGGACCUAGCGUAAUUCGGAAUUACUGGGCGUAAAGCGCGCGUAGGCGGUUAAGUAAGUUAAUUGUGAAAGCCCAAAGCUCAACUUUGGAAUUGCAAUUAAAACUACUUAGCUAGAGUUUAUCAGAGGAAAGCGGAAUACAUAGUGUAGAGGUGAAAUUCGUAGAUAUUAUGUAGAACACCAGUUGCGAAGGCGGCUUUCUGGGAUAACACUGACGCUGAGGUGCGAAAGUAUGGGUAGCGAAGAGGAUUAGAUACCCUGGUAGUC
rnacentral:rRNA from 1 species